rnacentral:lncRNA from 1 species
UUUGAUACCCCUGACGGCUACUUCUACGCUGUCAUGGACUGCUUCUGUGAGAAGACAUGGAGCCACACCAAGCAGUACUCCAUCGGUUACUGCCAGCAGUGCCCCGACAAGGUCAAGUGGCCCAUCGACGACCAGCGGUUCGGGAACCCCCCACCUCUGUAUUUCAACGCCGGCAUGUUCGUUUACGAGCCCAGCAAGCUCACCUAUGACUCCCUCCUCGAAACCCUCCAGAUAACCCCACCAACACCCUUCGCCGAACAGGUAUCCCAUCUCACACACACUCACUCUCACUUCCCGAUCGAAUAAACAUUCUUUUAAACACCGAUUAGAAUCCCUCAUGAUCAUUUCCAGUUAAAUGAAAAGUUCAUAGCACCAACGUUUUAUAUAAUAAUGGUAGUGAUUGUAAUUGUUGUUGUUUACAAUAACUAGGACUUCCUGAACAUGUUCUUCCAACAUACUUACAAGCCCAUCCCCCUGAUCUACAACCUGGUGCUCGCCAUGUUGUGGCGCCACCCCGAGAAUGUGGAGCUCGAAAACGUCAAGGUCGUCCACUACUGCGCUGCCGUAAGUUCCUCUUCCCUCUCUUCUCUGCACUAAUCAUAAACGAAGCUGCAAGGAUUAACUAUAACAACGAUAAUUCUUGUCAUUUUUUUCUUCUGAGGAGUUAAUGUAUGAUUUAUUAAUUUUCCAAAAUUGAUAAUUUCGUGCUCCAUAGACGGAGCCAGCUCCACGAAAGGUAUAUUUGGCCCUCUGCAAAAGGAGUUGGUUCAAACAAAUUUAGAACCAAAUGAUCCAAAAUAUUGGAAUCAAAUCACUUUAAGGAAGGAGAAUCCAUUUUUUUUAAUCAUAAUGCAAAGUAUGUCGUUAAAAACUUCCUUAUCACUAUUAUUGUCUUUAAUGACAUUAGUACCUUUACUAAAAACAUUAAUAAAGAUGAUAGUGAUGGCUACUAUGAUGAUGCAUGGCGAGGUGGGGAAAACGGGCUCUAGGUAGAGGUGGUCAAAAUGAAAUGGAGGGUGUCAGAUCGUGACGUUUAGGUUUCAUUCUCACAGGAAUCUUAAGUUGCCAUUAAUAAAUAAAUAAAUAAAUGAGUGGUAUGGAGGAGGUUAUCGAGGAUGAAUGAUAUCAAGAUGAAAUACUAGAAAUAUCUAUCUUCAAUUGUGCACCGACCUUCACAAAAGUUUCUAUUCUUUUCAUAAUAUGAUUUUUUUUUUUGCUAUCGUCAUCGACAUUUGUUAUUCGUCUAAAAGUAGACAAAUCAUUUUGGGUCUCUUGGACCGUGGUGUAGCUUUAUUCUCUUUUGUGAAAAAGUUCUGAAAACCACUUUCUUUGUGUGUUAGUUGAUUAGGUUCUCAUGAGGGAGAAAAAGGCAGAAUCCUCAGCCGUAGGAAUGGGAAUGGGUCGGAUCUGCUUGACCAAUGCUCUAGAAUCUAAUAAAAAUAUUUUAUAAAAUAUUUAAAAACAUAUUUCAAAUAUAUAUGUAUAGGCAAAUUUAUCAAAAUAUUAUAUAUUACAAUAUAUGUGUGUGUGGUCAAGUUGACCUAUACUCAGACCCGACCUGGAUCCAAGUCCCGUCCAGGGUUUUGGACUCGGACCUGAACCAUUGGUUCCAAAACUUGGACCCGGACUUAAAUCGGAACAACCUAUCGGGUUGUUGGGUCGACCCGACCCGAUUACCACCCCUACUCAGUCUUCUCAUGCUAAGGGUGGCAACAGACAGGGCCUAAGCCGGCCAGCCUUNNNNNNNNNNNNNNNNNNNNNNNNNNNNNNNNNNNNNNNNNNNNNNNNNNNNNNNNNNNNNNNNNNNNNNNNNAUGGUUGGCCAGGUCGAACGGGGUCAACACUGCCCUAGACCUGCCCUCAGGUUAUAGUUUGUAGCCUAUGCCCUAUCUCAUGCGAACCAUGUCAUACCAAUAGACCAAAGGCCCAUGCCCUAUCUCAUGCGAACCAUGUCAUACCAAUAGAACAAAGGCCUCAAGGCUCAUCCUCAUCUUUGUAUUCCUUCUCUUUUUUCCACCUUCUCCCCUUGCAUUAUUUUUUCCCUCAUUACCCUUUUCUUCUUUUUGCACCUCCUCAUCUUAACAUUAUUUCUCUCACAUUCCCCAAUUUUGUCCUUUACUUUUCUUUUAUUCUAACUUCUUAUUGUCCUUAUCUUUUCCUUCUUCCUUUUGGGCAACAGGGCUCUAAGCCAUGGAGGUACACAGGCAAGGAGGCAAACAUGGAGAGGGAAGACAUCAAAAUGCUAGUCCAAAAGUGGUGGGAUAUCUACGAUGAUGAAUCUCUGGACUUCAAGGAAGAGGACUCAAUCCCAGAGGCUGAGAGCUUGAGCAAGCCAUCAAUCAUGGCUUCAAUGCCAGAACCAGCUAUCUCCUUCAUCCCUGCCCCCUCUGCUGCUUAAGAUGCCAUAACCAUCAUCUCGUUAUCCUUGGAUCUCAACUCUCCACCUUCAUCUCUACCCCAUGUGUGAUCAAGCUGUUAGGCUGCAACAUAGCUAAAUCCUUAGUGUGUUUAAUCUCACCAGUAUAUAAUUCUGAAGACUUUGUAUUUUGAGGUGGUUGUAAUUACCAUUUGGAAUUUAAAAGUCUUUUAUAUUAAAAUAAUUACUUCUCUUUAGAAUUUGGAUCUAAUAAUGAUGCAAAUGAGUUGGGAAAGAAGUCACUUCUAGCAGUUGGUUGGACAAUGUGUUGAAGUACAUUAUGCAACGAACUAAUAAAACUUGAAAAAAAAAAGUUUUGAGAGAGAAGUCAUUCUGAGAAACAAAGUUUGAGGGAGAAAUGAUCUGAGUUUAUAAAUUCUGAUUACAAAAUCAGUUUGAAAUAUAUUACUAAUAAUAAGAGAAAUUUAUCAAAUCACAGCUAAGAGUUGAGCUAUUUAACAUCUCAUCGGUCCUUUGAUCAGUUGUUUUUAUUUGAUUUCCCAUAGCCCAUCAAAUUGCUCGCAAUUUUCUCAAUUCACACCUUGGGUGAAAUGUUAAAUAAUUGAACUCUUGGAUGCGAUUUGAUAAAUACUAUUGAUGAUGAUGAUAACAACAAUGGUGGACUCAAAAAAAAAAAUAAUUGGAAGAGAAAUAACAGAAGAAACUAAAAAAAAGAUGGGAGCAAGGAUAACUCAAUAUUCGCCUUGAAACUUGCUUGGAUAUGCCAAUCCAGUUCCUUCACAUUGAGAAUAAGUUACUAUUGUAAACAAAGUUCACACACCAUUAAAUGAUCCAAUAAACUAGAAUAGAAUUAGAAGGCUUUGGGUUUCAUUCCAUCGUGUCCCUCCCAAACACUAUGAACCUUUCAUGUAGUUUCCAGUCCUUCAUGCUUUCAAUCAGGGUUUCAGUAACCGGACAGGCCUUUCAGAAAUCUAGUUUGAAUUGGCGAACCUAUAUGAAUCCUUGGUGUAAGAAUAGGUCGCAAAAGAGACUAAAUAAUGAUUUUGAAAAAAUCAAUUACUAAAAAAUAAUACAAAAUAAAAUGAGUGGGAACCAAAUGUUUUGGUUUAUCUAGACAGUCCAGUUUCAUAAUAGACUCACCCGAUUCUCAUGGACAUAUUCCCAGGUAGGUCGGUCCCAAUAAUUCCCAGUCCUAAUCAUCGAUCUUUUCAACACUACCAAAUGUGGUCCGAGGCAAUCACUAUCCAAGGAGAAGUGCUUUUGUCCACCUCUCUCGCAAAUACAAUUAAGUCAAAGAACAACGUAAACCAGAAGUAGAAGCUGCUAAGAAGAAACCAGGAUUUCAAUGGAAACUUCUAGAAAACAAGAAGAAAGAAAUAUGAUUGCUCAUGAAACAUGAUUGCUCAAAAGAGUAUUGACUUAAAAUGUUGCUUGACAAUGAAUAAUAUACGCAUGUCUAUCUGGCCCAAAAGCGUUUAGCAUAACCCUAAGUACGGGUGGCAUGGGUCGGGUGGCUGGUCAGCCUGAUCGUAAAAACCUAGGGCCAGAACCACAACAUGUGGCCCGAGGGAUGGACUUGGGCUAGGCCAAGACAGGCCCGGCCCAGUUAAAAUAUAAUAAACGUAUUAGUCAUAUCCUCAAUGUUCCAAUACAAUGCAUCUCUCACGAAGAAUGUACUAGUAUAUAUUCCGGAUUCAUUAGAAGUUUUGGCAAUGUUUUACGUUAGCUGCCUAUCUAAUAAAACCCAUCCCUUUUACUCGAGCUGGGACAGGUUAAAGAAAAGUUUAAGGUCAUCACAUUUCUUAAACCUGUGAUAAUUAUAAUUAUAAUAGUUAUGUGUAGUUAUAAUAAUAACAUAAUGGUAUUAUAAUUGUAGUUAAUUAUGUUAUAAUAUAUAAUUAAUUUAGAAAAAAUUACAUACAUAUCCGUUAUACUUUACGUUAUUACGGUUAUGCCUAAUAGUUUCCGUUAUUACUCAUCUGUCCGUUUUUUAUCUUCUAUAAUGUUUUUUUUAAAAAAAGAUACUUUUGCCCUUUUCGGAUGUUCAACAUCCAAUUUUGGGAAAAAUUUCGCAUGUUCAACAUCUGAAAACAAUCGCGGCUACAAUAGUGACUUUUCUCAAUUUCGGAUGAUUUUCACAUAUUCGGAUGUUGAACAUCCAAACUUCUAAGAAUUUUGGAUGUUGAACAUCUGUAAUUCUGAGAAUUUCGGAUUUUAAACAUCCGAAAUUAUGAGAAUUUUAGAUGUUCAACAUCCGAAAUAUUGCGAGCCAACAUUUACUGUGCACAGGCGAAAAUUUAUAUAUUUUUAUUUUUAUAAAGUUGGGAAAAACCGAUCAUUGAAGCAUCGUACUCCCUUUACUGUCUCUUAAUACAGUAACCCACAAAGUUGAAGAGAUUGACUCACUAUUUGGACGUGAUUGGUACCAUUCUUACUCUUUCUUUAUACGGUUGAUUAAUUAACAUUUAUUUAUUAUUUUGUGAAUAAUAUUUGUUGUGUAAUUUUUUAUUAAUAAAUGGAAUUUUUUUAAUAUUGAUGAAGUUGUUCUUUUAUAUAAUUAUUUGUUGUUUGUAUCAUGUUGAUACAUUGUAUUUCUUGUUUGGCUAAAUAAUUGUUAGACUUGGUUGUUUGGAUUAAAAUUUGUUGUUUAUUUUGUGUUUAUGUGAGUAUUUCUUGUUUUCUUUUGUUUAAUGUUUAUUACUCACAAUUUUAGUAGUACACUAUUUAAAUCUAUUAUGUAAUACUCAGAUUUUAUAAACCCUAAAGUAAUUAGAAAUAUCCCAUUACUAUUCAUUUAAUACAUGAGUAUUGAUGAUGGCUACUGACAAUUUUAGUAGUACACUAUUUCAAUCUAUUAUGCAAUACUCAGAUUUUAUGAACCCUAAAGUAGUUAGAAAUAUACCAAUUUUUGGAAAAUUUUUUUAUAUUGAUUUUUUGUAACACUAACUUUGUUAUUCAUUUAGAUGAUGGCUACUGAGGGAGUGCAACUGGUAUUCCGAUAUGGGGGGUCAUUUGAGACGAAUGCAGAUGAUGGACGUAUUAUUUAUAAAGGAUGAAAAUUGAAGGUCACCAAGUAUAAUGGGAAUAGUUCCUUGGAGGAACUAAAAAGUCAUUUUGCAAAUUUAACCAAGUAUAAUCCAAGCAAAUUAGCUAUUAUGUACCACAAUAUAAGUCUAUCUAGUGGGCUUAAUUUUGUUGAUGUUAGUGAUGAUAUAGAUGUAUCUUUUAUGUUGGGAGGGGAAUCUUCUAGAAUUGUAGUAUAUAUUACCGAGACAGCAAGAAUCUGUUGCUAAGGGCCCAUCUUCAAGGAAUAGGUAUAUCUACAAUUUAUUUUUCAUCUGUAAAUUGCUUUAUUUUAAUCUUAUAUGUAUAGAAAUUGUUGCUUCAUCUUACACUGUAUCUUUUGUCAACAGUCGGUGUAACGCUUUACCUGAUCAAAACAUUGGAUUGGUGCUCAACCCUAAGCUCGUAGCAGAGCGUGAUAUGAAGGACAUUGAACCACUAGAGAGUCCAUAUAGAGGAGUUGGUAAGGAGGUUCAAUUAAGUGUUGGGCAAUUUUUUGAAAAUGUUAAUGAAUGUCGACAUCAUCUACUUGAUUUUGCAAUCCACAACAAUUUUAUUUUGAAGUUUGACAAAAGUGAAUUAGGACGGGUGUGGGCAACUUGCAAGGCAGAUGGAUGCACAUGGCAAAUGCGGUGCUUACGAAUUGGCAGCACCGCAUACUUAAAGUGAAGUCUAUGGUUAAGGAGCACACAUGUAGUGGUUCAAUGAGGAGGGUCCAUCAGCCACUAUCUCGUAGUGAUUGGGUGGAAAAAAAGAUUAAAGGCUGCCUUCUUGACCGACCAAAAAUUAAAGCAAAAGACAUUAUAAAAGAUGUUCAACAUGAUCAUAGGGUCAAGCUUUCCUACAUGUAAGCUUGGCGGGGAAAAGAGGUUGCUAGAGAGAUGAUAGAUGGAUCACAUGAACAACAAUACCAUGACCUCCCCUUGUAUAUUGAGAAGAUCAGAAGAACCAACUCGGGAACCGAAGUUCGCAUUCACACAAAUGAAGGCAUGCUCAAAUGACUAUUUAUUGCCUAUCGUCCAUGCAUUAUGGGGUUUUUUAAUGGAUGCAGGCCACUAAUUAGUAUUGAUGGAACCUUCCUAAAAAAGAAGUAUCAAGACAUUUUAGUAUGCGUCAUCGCACUAGAUGCAAAUAAUGGGCUAUUCCCAUUGGCAUUUGCAGUGAUUGAGAAGGAGAAUUACUAGAAUUGAUAUUGGUUCUUAAGUAUAUUGAGUGAGCUAUUGAAUAGGUACCCUAAUCUGCUUACCUUAGCCAUUAUGUCAGAUAGACAGAAAAGCCUACCAGAAGCAAUAGAAAAAUGUUUUCCAACAUGUUUUCCAUCAUUUUGCAUGUGACAUAUGGGAGAGAACUUCAAGGGCUUUAUGAAGAGGUCAGCAAAUACUGAAGUAUUGUUGAUGUUGUUUUGGAAGGCUGCUUGUAAAGCGACCAUUGCUGGGUUUGAAAAAAUAAUGUUUGAUAUACAAUGUGCCGACCCAGAAGCAUAUGAUUGGAUUACGAAUAUUGGGCAGAUGCUUAUUUCUCAGGGUCUAGAUACAAUCAUCUUACCUCAAACAUGGCCGAGUCUUUCAAUGCUUGGAUUUUAUCGGCUCGAGAGAAGUCAAUCAUUACAAUGUGUGACGAAAUAAUGGUACAGUUGAUGACCAAGUUUGAAGAGAAGAGGGAGUUAGGUAAUACUUGUAGCUACAUGCUAGUACCGAAUGCUUAAGAAUUACUUGACACGCGAAAGAUGAAGGCUCGAUUUUUACACACAUUUAUAUUCGUCAUAGACACGCAGUUUAAGAUCCACUAUCUUGAGAAGAAGUACGCUGUUGAUUUAACGCAUUGGACAUGCAGUUGUAUAAAAUUGCAACUCAAUGGCAUUCCGUGUGUCCAUGCUAUUGCGGCCAUUAACCAUAUGCAUUUGGAUCUCCCUGUGUACUGCUCUAAGUAUUUUACAGUAGAAUACUUUAGAAGGGCAUUUGAAACUCCCUUUGCGCCUGUCCCGGAUGAUAUUGAGUUGACAGGUAUUUACAACAGGACAUUGUUGCCACCAAAGACUACACACCUUCCCGAUAGGCCAAAAAAGCAAUAAAGGAUAUCCGAGACGGAACAUCCGAUCACCAGGCCUUUGAAGUGCAAACGAUGCGGUGCAGAGGGUCAUAAUAGGAGGACAUGUAGAUAACCGAUAGAGUGAACUUGAUGUUAAUAUUGUAUUCUUGUAUGGAAUUAUGAUUUUCAUGAAUUAAUGAAUUGAGUGAAUAUUGUGUUUUUGUUGUCAAACUUGUGUCAGUGCAAUUGGAAUUCGUACUUGUCAUAAAUGUUAUAAUGGAGAAGUUACAACCCCUUCUGAAACUAUUAUGAGUUUGCCAAUCGUUGUUGUCAUGUCCAUGCAUCACUCUCAUGUCCAUGCAUCAAACUUUGAAGUCCAUUUUCUUAUCAUGUUAAUGCAUCAUGAUGAUGUCCAUAUGAUCAAUCUAAUGUCUAAACAACUUUCGGAUGUUGAACAUCCGAAAAUGUUAUAUUUCGAAUGUUGAACAUCCGAAACUGUCACAUUUUGACAAGGAAAUUUUUUCAGAUGUUGAACAUUUGAAAAUGACAUAUUUUCAUAUGUUUAACAUCUGAAAAUGACACUGUCAAAAUCCAAGAAGUUCUGGAUUUUGGCAGUCAGUUUUCGGAUGUUCAACAUCCAAAAAUUCAAGGAAAUUUUUUCUGAUGUUGAACAUCCGAAAAUGGCACUGUCAAAAUCCAAGAAGUUCUAGAUUUUGGCAGUCAGUUUUCGGAUGUUGAACAUCAAAAAAUGUGACGACGUUCAAUAUCCGAAAAUGGACCGCCAAAAUCCAUAACUUCUUGGAUUUUGAUAGUCAAUUUUUGGAUGUGUAACAUCCGAAAAUAUGUCAGUUUUAGAUGUUCAACAUCCGAAAAUAUGACAUUUCAGAUGUUGAACAUCCAAAAACUAACUGUCGAAAUCCAGAACUUCCUGGAUUUUGACAGUGUCAUUUUCGGGUGUUGGANNNNNNNNNNNNNNNNNNNNNNNNNNNNNNNNNNNNNNNNNNNNNNNNNNNNNNNNNNNNNNNNNNNNNNNNNNNNNNNNNNNNNNNNNNNNNNNNNNNNNNNNNNNNNNNNNNNNNNNNNNNNNNNNNNNNNNNNNNNNNNNNNNNNNNNNNNNNNNNNNNNNNNNNNNNNNNNNNNNNNNNNNNNNNNNNNNNNNNNNNNNNNNNNNNNNNNNNNNNNNNNNNNNNNNNNNNNNNNNNNNNNNNNNNNNNNNNNNNNNNNNNNNNNNNNNNNNNNNNNNNNNNNNNNNNNNNNNNNNNNNNNNNNNNNNNNNNNNNNNNNNNNNNNNNNNNNNNNNNNNNNNNNNNNNNNNNNNNNNNNNNNNNNNNNNNNNNNNNNNNNNNNNNNNNNNNNNNNNNNNNNNNNNNNNNNNNNNNNNNNNNNNNNNNNNNNNNNNNNNNNNNNNNNNNNNNNNNNNNNNNNNNNNNNNNNNNNNNNNNNNNNNNNNNNNNNNNNNNNNNNNNNNNNNNNNNNNNNNNNNNNNNNNNNNNNNNNNNNNNNNNNNNNNNNNNNNNNNNNNNNNNNNNNNNNNNNNNNNNNNNNNNNNNNNNNNNNNNNNNNNNNNNNNNNNNNNNNNNNNNNNNNNNNNNNNNNNNNNNNNNNNNNNNNNNNNNNNNNNNNNNNNNNNNNNNNNNNNNNNNNNNNNNNNNNNNNNNNNNNCGACUGGAUCUCCUUUCUCUUAGAUCAGCUCGAAAGCCUCUCGGCCUUCUCGACAUGAUCUGCACCUCACUCCAUUUCUCUAAUCACACUACACUUGAUUCUUUCACACAUUUGGUGUGUGUAUAUAUAUAUAUACACACCACACACACACACACACACAUGGCAAGGCUUAAAGACUAGCAACGAGUUCUUAAAAAAAACACAAACUUAACAAAGUAGAAAGACCAAAUUGUACUUAACAAAAUUCAUUGAACAAAUACGGUGGGUCAAAAAGACCAAUACAUUACAUCGCUCAAAAUAAACAAAUUAAUUGUUCCAAAACAUUCAAAAUGAAGGUAUGAACAAAAUUACAAGGGUCAAGACCCCAUUACACUGGUCGCCUUCUCUUAGGUCGAUAUUGUUUCUUUCUUGUGUUAUAUCCUCUGGGCUCCUCAACUGCUGAUUGUGUGGAUGGAGCUAGGUCUUCUACAACCCGACUACUUUCUCCCACUCCAUCAUGUUCGGCCUCGUCAAGUACACAUUUGUCUUGAUAUUAACGCUGUAAACUUGUCAUCCUGGCUUCUAUGUCAUCCAUAUCAAUAGGCACAAACUUAGACAAUGUGUCAAACGCGUUGUUAACGUGAUUAUAAUCUUUCGGAUACCACUUCUGUCUAAGUGUAAGUGGCUCUACUAACAUGACUGUAGAUACCUGAACUGCACUAACAUGUACAAACAAGAUUACCUAAUUAGUAUAUUUAAACAAUUUCAUAGAACAAAUAGGUAAAUAUAAUACUAUAAGAAUUUGUAGGUCAAUAUAAACAUACCAACUGGUCCUCAUAACCUUGAGGUCUCAUUAUAUACUGUGGUUCAUGACCAGGAACCACAUCUUCUGCUUCUUCGUCUUGGUUAUGAGGUUGCAAUAUGUCUUUGGGUGAGUUAGCGACAUUAUGUAUUAGAGGAUGAGACACUAGGUUGUACCAAGCCUUGUACUCCUGUGAGGGCAACCCAUUAUCUGUAUCUACUUGAAUAUUAGGCAUCAUGCAUUCAUGACGAGACAACUAGUGGUGGAUUUAUCUGCAUUCGGAUUUCGCCAAUCUCAGUGUUCACAUUGUCUGCUAACCCUCUUACCAACAACCAAGGGAUUUUAAGGAAUGCUAUGUUAGCUCCAAAUUGCCGACGUACUCGAUCUGGCAUGUACGGCUUGGCAAUAUUGUCACAAAUAAGUGUCGUUAUGCACAUUGCAGUUUCAAAUGCCUCCCGCCUGUCAUCUGAAAUGACCUCAUCAAGCUUGAAAUAGGGAUUUCAUAUUUACCUAUUAUAUGAUAUACAAUCAGUCAAUAAAAAUAAUUACAAAUGAUUAACUACAUUUGAAAGUAAUAAAUAUCAAAUUAUACACUAACCUCAUUAGGUUCGAGGUUAUCAAUUUCUUGUCUGAUGGGAGGCAUUAGGUUAUGUGGAUUGCCAUGAUAUUUCUUCGGGGGCUUCCAUCUUUUGGCCCUAGGUAAAUUUGGAGAGAUAUUAUGCGGUAUGGGCUUCAUAUGCGUAAUAUGCUCAUAUGAGCAGCACUGCAAUAAAUUCAGCUACAAAGAUUAUUUAAUAUUUAAUAAAUUCAGCAACGCUUAUUUCAUAUACCAAAAAAAAAAGGUUACCUACAUUAGAGUGGUUGAACCACUAAAAUGUCUUUGCUUGAAGGUACAAGCCUUUCCCAGUGAGUGAUAAAUGAAUGCAAGGGUUGCAGCACCCCAAGCAUAUUUGCUGGCUCCCUCCAUAUCUUCAAAAAACUACAAGUACCUUGUUGGUACUAUUGAAACUGAUGCAUCAAAGAAUAUGGUGGCACUGAUGAGGAAGAGCAGAUAUGCUCGAGUAUAUCUAUAAACUUGAAUAGGGGUUGCAUCAGGUGGCAAUUCUCUAAAAUUCGCCUUCAACCAUGUAUGCCUCAAGCUUGUUAGGUUGCCAUCAAAGAAUAUACCCAAAUUGUCUUCUAUAUACUGUUGCAGGUCACUGAUAGGACGACAUGUAAUUGGCUUGCCAUCCACAACCAAUCCUAAUAUCUCAUAUACAUCAAAUAACGUUAGUGUCAUCUCACCAAUAUGAAUGUUGAAAUGAAAUGUGUUUGUCUCAGAACGCCACCUCUUUACAUUAGUUGUGACUAGAGGAUAAUCAAUUCGAUCUGGUCGAAUGAUAUUUAAGGGACCCAACCCAGACGCAUUAACUAAUUCAACUUGCUCUUCUGUUAAUUUCCAUUCGUUUAAUUGAAAACUCUUCAUUUCUUCUUUCUCUUGAAAUACAACAAAUAGACAACAUAUUAGUCCGAAUACAUAUAGAUGUACUUCUCAUAGAAUGUUUGAACCUGAGUACAAUUUAUUGAUGAAUAUAUGCAUAUACAUGUCCUUCCCAUAUAAAAUAUGAUGCAUGUCCUGGAUGAGGUUGCAGCAAACUAGGGUCCUGAUGACCUCCUAGAUAUCCUCCUUCGGGAUGUAAACCAUUCAUAUUCACUGAAGUCACAUAUGGUGACCAUGUUAAUAUAAGGUUACAUAUACAGAAAUUUACUGGAUAACAAAUGAACAAACAACUUGGGAAAGUCUCUAGUUGGCCCAGGCCAACUUGGGAAAGUCUCUAGUUGGCCCAGUGGUUUUCUAAUUACAGGUAAUUAAAGAUUUGUUCUGUCCAAAAUUCAUUAUAUCCAACCACCCAAAAACAACCACCCAUUGGUAAAAUAUCACUCAGAAUGCAUAUUUCUAACACUACAAAUUGCAUAUAUCAGGUUAACCAGUUUUAACCGUUCAAUUUCAUAUAUUCAAAAGGGAGCAAUAAGCAUUCAAUAGAAGACACAAAUUUCACAAGAAGAACAAUAAGCAUUAAAAAAACACACAAAUUUCACCAACACAAAUCUUCAGUAAUUGGGCAACCAUAUAUUUCAUAAAAUUGAUAUAAUUGAUCAAAUGCAACUAAAAGAGACUAAUAUUAUAUAAAAAAAAGUGAAUAAACAAUUAAGAAAUUCACACCCAACAAUAAAAAUGAUGCAGAGAAUAGUCAAACUGAUGUAUUUUUAGGGAUGCAUCAUAUACCGAGCAACUUCUAUACUGAUGUAUUUUUAGGGAUGCAUCAUAUACUGAAUAAAAUCUAUACUGAUGUAUUUUUAGAGAUUGAGUAAGAAAUUCACUCCCAACAGUAAGAAAUUGAGUAACUUCUAUAGUAAUGUAUUUUUAGGGAUGCAUCAUAUACACAACAAAACCUAGUAAAAAAUAAAAUAACCAAUAGUAAAAAUAAAACCACCAAAUGAUGCAGAGAAUAGUCAAAAUAAAACCACCAAAAUGUAACUUAUAUACUGAUGUAUUUUUAGGGAUUCAUCAUAUAAUUGAUCAAAUGCAACUAAAAGAGACUAAUAUUAUAUAAAAAAAGUGAAUAAACAAUUAAGAAAUUCACACCCAACAGUAAAAAUGAUGCAGAGAAUAGUCAAACUGAUGUAUUUUUAGGGAUGCAUCGUAUACCGAGUAACUUCUAUAUUGAUGUAUUUUUAGGGAUGCAUCAUAUACUGAGUAAAAUCUAUACUGAUGUAUUUUUAGGGAUUGAGUAAGAAAUUCACUCCCAACAGUAAGAAAUUGAGUAACUUCUAUAGUAAUGUAUUUUUAGGGAUGCAUCAUAUACACAACAAAACCUAGUAAAAAAUAAAAUAACCAAUAGUAAAAAUAAAACCACCAAAUGAUGCAGAGAAUAGUCAAAUUAAAACCACCAAAUGAUGCAGAGAAUAGUCAAAAUAAAACCACCAAAAUGUAACUUAUAUACUGAUGUAUUUUUAGGGAUUCAUCAUAUAAUUGAUCAAAUGCAACUAAAAGAGACUAAUAUUAUAUAAAAAAAGUGAAUAAACAAUUAAGAAAUUCACACCCAACAGUAAAAAUGAUGCAGAGAAUAGUCAAAUUGAUGUAUUUUUAGGGAUGCAUCAUAUACCGAGUAACUUCUAUACUGAUGUAUUUUUAGGGAUGCAUCAUAUACUGAGUAAAAUCUAUAUUGAUGUAUUUUUAGGGAUUGAGUAAGAAAUUCACUCCCAACAGUAAGAAAUUGAGUAACUUCUAUAGUAAUGUAUUUUUAGGGAUGCAUCAUAUACACAACAAAACCUAGUAAAAAAUAAAAUAACCAAUAGUAAAAAUAAAACCACCAAAUGAUAUAGAGAAUAGUCAAAAUAAAACCACCAAAAUGUAACUUAUAUACUGAUGUAUUUUUAGGUAUUCAUCAUAUACACAACAAAACCUAGUAAAAAAUAAAAAAACCAAUAGUAAAAAUAAAACCAUCAAAAUAAUGCAGAGAAUCGUAAAAAUAAAACCACCAAAUAUCUAUACUGAUGUAUUUUUGGACCAUUAGAUGCAUAUAAUCAUUAGGACCAAUAGACGCAGAGUAGAGCACAAUGAUUUAUUUGAAAUAAAAAUAAUAAUGAAAAACAAGCAAAAAAAUAAAAAACCUUACCUUGUUGAAUAAGAUGAAGGAGGUUGAAGACUUCGAAACAGUAGCGACGGUAGAUUUUGAAGAUGAUGCGAGGUUUACAGUAGCAGCAAGGGUUUUCAGAUGUGCAGCUAGGGUUUUUUGGAAAACCUCGCUAACAGUAGCGAGGUUUUUUUUCUUUUGCCUCGCUAACAUUUUCGGAUGUUCAACAUCCGAAUUUCUGAUAUUUUCGGAUGUUGAACAUCCGAAAAUGGGAAAAAGCAUCGUUUGACCUGCGGCUAAAUUCGGAUAUUCAACAUCUGAAAAUAUGAGAAAUUCGGAUGUUGAAUAUCAUAAAAUGGGCAAAGUUGUCUUUUUUAAAAAAUAGCAUUAUGAAAGAUAAAAAACGGACAGUUGUGUAAUAACAGAAACUAUUGGUGUAACCGUAAUAACGUAAACUAUAAAGGAUUUCAACAUAAUUUUUUCACUAAUUUAUAUAUUAUAAUAUUAAUAGUAUCGUCAUCAUCAUCAUCAUCAUCAUCAUCAUUCAAGCUUUAUCUCAAGUAUUUGGGUUGGCUACAUCAAUCAUGUUCUUCCAUUCUUCUCUACAUAUAACAUAGGUUUAGGAUGUAUGAUAAGAUGUAGCAAAGUUUUAUGUUGGCUGCCGACUUAAUAAUAUAUUUAAUAUUAUAAAUAUUAUAAUAUAUAAUAUAAUGCAACCUUAAACAAUCCAAUUAAGGAGCACCUCCAAAUUUUAUCAUAACAUGUAAUUUGGGUUUACAAAAUUCUUAGGAUUAUCUGAAAAUUUUAUUUUUCUAUCUAAUUAUAAAAUUUUAAACUCAAAAAAUAGUUAAAAUCAAGUAGAUCUAUAAACAUAUGAAAAUCUUAAAAAUGAACGGUCUAGAUAAUAUGUUGCAAAAUGCACUAUUUAUGAUACUCAAAAUCUUUUUUUUUUUUUUUUCAUAUUCAUAUAUCUCGAUGUUCAAAUAAUCAAUUAGAGGGGUUUUCAACAUUAAAAUAACCUUUUUCGAUGGAUUUUUGAGGUGCAUCUUCAAUUCUACAUUUUAAGGUUGCAAUGUUAUAUAAACUUUUUUCUUUUAUUAUUAUAUAAUAUUACAUAUAAUAAUAGUAUAUUUAUAGUAAUUGUAUAUUAUAAUUAUAAUUAAUUAUGUAGUACUACAUAUAAGUCAUUUAUAUAUUAUUUAUUAUAAUAUAUAUUAUAAUAUUAUAUUAUUAUCGACAAUCCAAACAGCGUGCAGAUAUCUUCCAGUUUCUUACUGGAUACUAUCCAACACAUUUUUUUUUUUUGGGUAAGUGGGGAGAGGACCCAAAUACUAUCCAACACCGUUUUUUGUUUUGGGUGAGUAAGUGGGGAGAGGGUCCAAAUACUAUCCAAUACCUUUUUUUUUUUGGGUGAGUAAGUGGGGAGAGGGCCCUUUACCAUUGGUAGGAAUUGAGCCUAGGACGUAGCAUUGCAAAUCGUCCAGUGCUAACCAAUUAAGCCCGAGUUCUUUUUCCAAAUGUUAUUUAUUAUAAUAUUAUAUUAUUAUUGGCAAUCCAAACAAUGUGCAGAUAUCCUCUAGUCUCUUACCAAAUACUAUCCAAACAGCAAGUACACCUUUUUUUUUGGAGUAAGUGGGGAGAGGGCCCUACCUUCGGUAGGAAUUGAGCCUAGAACGUACCAUUGCAAAUCGUCAAGCGCUAACCAAUUAAGCUUGGGCUCUUUUCCCAAAAGUGUUAAGUCAAUGAGGAUUUGGGCUUCUACUCUUUGGUGAGGAUAGAGUUAGAGACCUCAUCAUCGGGAUAGGCAAUACUACCGCCAAGGCCCAUGUUAUUCUCCAAACAAUAGACACCUACAUUCUAGAAGAUUCCAAUUCCAAGAAAGGUAUCUCCCAAGCAUACCUAUUUCCAGGGAACCAAAUUAGACAUAAAUGAAGGUAAAUGACUAAUAAUAAUUAGAGUGGAUUGCGAGGAGUGAACCUUAAAAAUAAAAAAGAAAAAUACGAAUCCCCGUCAUUUAAAGGAGUUAAAAUUAGACUAAAGAAUAGAAAACAAAUAAUUUCUCAUGUGCCAAUAACCCAAGAGUCACAAAAAGCAACAAGAUAAGAAAGAAGAUGAUGAUAAGUAAGAAUAAGAUAUAAAUCAAUGUAGUCCCUUGGCCAAUGGGAAGCCCAUAUCCAUGGUUAUCCAAAGGGGUCAUGUCUUUGUCACCUUUCUUGGUGCGCGGGUUCACUUAACAUUGUGGUACAUUCGGAGGACAUUUAUCGUUGGGCAAGGUUCCAUCCAUCUCCAUGAGUGCGAAAUGAGGUGGGUCCAUGUUAUGCAUGUGUGACUUAGAAAGGAGGAAGCAAGAUUAAGGACCAUGUCGUUUGAAGUGGUUCCAUGUUAUGGAUACGUGUGGAUGGAAAGAAGAUAUUGCAUAUUUAAUAUUGCCCAAUUGUAAUUGUUAUAUUUAUCUCAAUUGAAUUUAUAAUUUUUUAAAAAUAUAUUAUCACGUAAAUUAUACUUCUUAUAUUUAUUAUAGAUUUGUAAAAAAAUUAUUUAUUAUGGACUUGUAUGAAGUUUUAAAUAAUAAUAAGUUUUGUGUGCAAUUCUUUUUGUAAUCAUAAUAUUUAUUUCAAUAGAAUGCAUAUUUUGUUUAAAAGGUAAAAUCUUGUAAAUUGUAAUUCUUAUAUUUAUUAAAAUAGAAUGUGUAAAACUUUAAAUAUUAGUGAUUCACACUUGUAAUUGUUAUAUUUAUUCCAAGAGAAUAUAUAUAGUUUCUUUAAAAACAAUUAUUAUCUUGUAAAUUGUAAUUGAUAUAUUGAGAGUAAUAGAAUGUAAGAAAUUUUUUAGAAAAUUAUUAUCUGGUAAUUGUAAUUGUUAUAUUUAUUGAAAUAGAAUGUAUAAAUUUUUAAACAAGAAUAACUCUUUUUUAACUAUAAUAUUCAUUCAAGAAGAUGUAAAUUUUUCUAAACUAUAAGAAAUAAAAUAAAUAAAUCAGACAAAAAUAAAAGUUUAAGAGAUUAUACCCUCUCUCAAGAUCUAUAAGAGAGGCCACUCCAAAAAAAUCUCUUCACAAGAUCCAAAGUAAGCUAUUUCUCUCGUUUGUAUCUUUUCUUUUAAUAUGUGAGCUGUCCUUCGAUAUUGAGUCUACACUAACGCAUGUGGCUUAAAACAUGGGGCUUUUCUUUAGGAGAGCAUCCCAAUUGCUUCUUCAUAGAAAAACACCCUCCAAUUGUUGCAUAAAAAGCAAGCCCUAAAAAAUAAAUUCACUACAUGAAUGAGACCUACUUUCCCAUGACCACAGUGGAUUGCCCAUUUUCUUAGAUUUUUACUACAGAAGCAUGGGGCUUUUCUUUUGUGGGAUUAUCUAUGCAGAAACUUCUCUCUCAAUCUUCCCCACUAAAUUUAAACUCUCUUAAUGUUUCCAAAUUCUUCCAAGCUUUUCUUCCUUAAAUUAUAUUUUGUUCCCCAAUUCUUUUUUACUCAAACCUUCGUCCUUUCUAUUUCUAUCCCAAGAAUAGGAAAAUGUUUUUUCAGAGCCCCAUCAGUGUGCAAUACAAUUUCAAGAGAUGCCCUUGCAUUUUACUUUAUCACAUUGUUUGAAUGGGUUUCAUACUCUUCUUGUUUUUAUACCCAAUAUGCUCUCAAAACGACCUAGACCACACAAAUUAUUGAGUUUUGGGGGAAUACCUAUAGCAUAGGCCUGCCAAUCACACACCCUCAAGACUAAGACUAAGGAUUGGGCUCAUGCGAAUAUCUAGCACAUAAAUAUGGCCGAUGGCUUUGGUAGACCAUCCCUCUAUAGCUCAAUCCAUAUACACAAACUUGUAUAUUUCCAUAAGGUCCACAUCCCCAUGCUUAAACUAUUUAAAUUCUAUAUAUAACUCCAUAAGUACAUAUCCAUAAUUAUAUAUAUAUAUAUAAAUAAAAGUAAUGAUCCUAUGCGACCCUCCCACACCUAUAUAUAUAGGAUAUAUAUAUAUAAAAAAAAGUAAUGAUCCUAUGAGACCCUCCCGCACCCAUAUAUGUAAGACUCUAAAGGAUUACUAUCAAAUUUAACACAAAUAUCUAAAAAAGUCAAGUCUCACAUGUCAUAACUUUUUUAGAGUUCUAUACCAAAUUUAAUGGUGAUCUUUUGGGAUCCGACACACGAAUGUGGAAAGAUCUCCUAAGAUCAUUACUAUAUAUAUAUAAACACGUGCGCACAUACACACGCGAAAAUAACUUUCAAGUAACCUUUGAAUGAUAACUUUCGUAUAACCUAGAAGGGUAGUAACCAAAUAUUCUUUUUAGGAACAUGUGUCCAUUCCCUAAGUUCGACCAAAUGAGAACAAAUGGUUACUAUUAAAAAUAUCAUCAAAUAUCUCUCACCCCAUUAUCGCAUAAUUAAUAAAGACAAGCCUCAAGUAAUUGUCCGCUAUCAAUAGCAAACUAAAUCGCUAUCAAUAGCAGCAACGAAGCAAGAAGAAAAGGCAGGGUAGGAGAGAGCUGGAAAGCAAAGGCAGAAAUAGUAGCAAAAUAGAGAGUGAAGUAAGAAGAAUUAGAGAAAAGAAUGCUAGAGAUCUCGGAGCUCUUUAAGAGAAGAUAAAAUAUCCGUUCACAUAUAGGCAAGCCAUUAUCGAUACAUCACCAAUUGAUUCUCUUCUCUUAAAACAGUUGUUAUUAGCCUAUUUUAACAGCUAUUUCACUCCUCUGAGGAUGGAUAUAAUUAACAGGGUGCCUGCUGGAACCCGGCGACUAUAUUACUCGAAAUUAAAAAAAAAAGAAAAAGCCCUUUAUCAAGGUGUUGUUUGUUUUGUUCAAAAGCUUGUACUAUCCAUCUCUAUUAUAUGUAUGUGUUUGACACUUAUUCUAAUCAUGCUUCGAAGGAAGCCAAACACUUGACGACUACACUGGAGAAUAGUCCUCUCUCCUUUUUAGUUUCGAAAAGCGCGAAAAUGUCCUUGUUAUCUCUCUCUCUCCUCAAGACCGCAUAGUCUUGACAUAUCAACAAUGAAUACGAUUGCGGUCAGUAUUUCCAUCUCCUCUUUUAUAAUUUAGACUAUUAAGGUCUUCGUAUUAGUAGGUAGGAAAUCCCCUAUACGUAUCAAGGCAAAUCUUCUCUAUACUGCUGGAAAAGAUAUCCCUUAUGCCUAUCCCAAUUUUUUUUGUUUUUUGUUUUUUAAAUUAUUUAGUGGGGAAGGCAGACCCUACCCAUUUUUUCAAAUAGAUUAGAAGUUAGUUUCUUGAAAGUAGGCCCCUACCCGUUUUUUCAAAUAGAUUAUAAGUUAGCUUUUUGAAGACAUAAGUGGAGUAGUAUCAGUGGUUAGAUAGUGAGUAAGACGUGGGGUGUUGCCUCCAAGACCCUAGCCUCUUUCUCAAAAGUGGUAAGUAAGUGGGGAUUUAGGCCUUUUUAUGAGAAUGGAGUUAGACCUCACCAUGGGGCUCAACAAUACUACUGUCAAGGCCCAAGUCAUUUUUGUGUAUCCCAAUUUCUCAACAAACACCACAAACACGCUACUCUUCAGCCAUGCUAAGAAGAAUCUUCAUAAAUUUCAAGACCGCAAAUUUAGAGAAGCAACACAUCAACGCCCAUGGUUAUCUAGUUCAUCUUCUCUCUUAGAAUGUAGACAGAGUGAAACUAGAGGGGCUCCCCGUUUUUGCAAGAACGUUUUGGUUGGCCAUCACUCAGAUUAUUGUACUUCCCAAACCAACGAUUUGGUACUUUUUAUGGAAUUCUCUAUCAUAUAGAUAAUAAAAAGUUAUCGUUCAAAAAAAAAAAAGAAAAAGAAAAAACGUUUACAUAAGGUUGCAACUUUAAAUGGUAUAAUUAAAGUGCACUUCAUAAAUCCAUUGAAAAAAGUUGUUUUGGUGCUCUAAUUGAUCAACACGACAUCAAGACCUAUGGAUAUGAAAAAGAGAAGGAUUUUGAAUGCGAAAAAUAAUACAUCUUGCUACACAUUAUCUAGACUGUGCAUUUUCAAUAUUUUCAUGUGUUUAUAGAUCUUCUUGAUUUGAGUCAUUUUUGGAGUUUAAAAAAUUUAUAAUUAGAGAUGAAAAUAGGCUCUCAAGCCAUCCUAACAAUUUGUUGACACUAAAAUUAUAUGUUAUGAUAAAAUUUAGAUGUGCUCCUUAUUUUGAUUGUUUAAAGUUGCAACCUUAUUAUACAAACUACGCCCUGUAGAUAAUAUUCCAAUAUCAAUAAGUUCAAUUGAAGUUACAUUCAACGGUUACCAUGUUCAUAAAUUUAGCAGGUUUCAUUUCUUGUUUGCAAUUUGUUCCAAAGCACUUGUUUACUUAGCUUUUUUUUAUAACGGGUUGGAGCCGUGACAAUAGUAUUAUUAUUGCCUCAGCUAAAGUCUAGGCUUCCAUUCUUACCUAAUGCAUUAAAAAACUACUAAUGAUUUAAAAAACUGGUAGGGGCUCAUCAUCCCUGCUGCAUUACCCAAAAUAAAAAAAAGACUUGUGUAAUUCAUGUUUGAGAAGGCAAAUGAUAGCAAAGUCGUAGAAAAUUCAUAGGCUGUUGAAAGGCAAUAGAUUAUCUUAUCAUCAAGACCUUUCAAUUUUGAACCCUGCUGUCACGUCCCAAAAUUAAUUGUUGAUCCAACUGUUAUUAUGAGAUUUAGACUCUUGUUUUUGUGUAGUUGUAAUGUUUCUUCUGUUUGCAGCGUAUACCUCCAACAAAAUAAAGAUUUACAGCUCUUUACAAGCAAUAAAUGUAAACAAUAUUUGUCUCUUCGGAGAAAGCCAACAUACUGUAAUUUGCAUGUACCUACUGGCAGGUCAAAUUCACCAGCUUCUUUUCCAAAGUUAAAAUACAAAUACUACUGUUAUAUAGACAUGAGCAACGUAAUUGUCACAUAAGCUUCCAUUCUUACAAGCAAUUUGUUUUGUUCCUUUGUAGGAGUUGGUGUAGAUACGGACUGUUGCGCCAUUAAUUUAUCUGUUGGUAAAAGCACUUCUCUUCAGUAAAAUAUCUGAGGAUAUUAUGUAAAAGGUGAGGUUUGUGUAAGGUGCCCAACUUAUACUGCACAAAUAAGGCACACCUCUAAAUUUUGCCGGAAGAUGUAGUUCCUAUAGGAAAUGUUAUGAUGGCUUAAAAAUCCAUGUUGAACCUAAUUAUGAAAUUGAAAAUUCCAAAAAUAUUACAAAUCGAGCAGAUCUAUAAACACUUGAAAAUCUUAAAAAUAGACAAUCCAGAUAGCUUGUUAUAAAAUGCAAUUUUUUUCAAACUUGAAAUUCUUGUCUUCUUCAUAUCUAUACAUUUCAAGAUCGAGAUUAUUAAUUGGAAGGUUUUUCAUAUUUAGAAUACUCUUUUCUACUGAAUUUUUGAAGUGCUCCUUAUUUCUACAUCUACAGUAUAAGGUCGCAACCUUAUAUAAACUUUUUCCUUGUGUAAAAGAGGAAACAAUAAUCCCCAAGUAUAGAAACACAGGAUGCUUCAAAUAGAUGGGGGGAAUUAGAAGAAUUGGCCCCAUGUCAAAGGAACAUGGUUUCUAGUUGACAUCAUUUAAAAUCUUGACCAUGCCAAAAUCUUGACCAUGCAACGUUUACCAGUGUCCAUUCAAAAUUUUGAAUAGUUUGUACUGAGCUGAUUGACCCAUCCAUUAUGUACGUCGAUAUUUAACUCACUGAAUAUUUCUUGCCAUUGAAUUUAAAUUUUAUGCUAUCACGAUUGAUGUAGAAUCCAGUAUAACACGUCACGUUCCAACAUUAGUUGCAUGGAGGAGAUAUUAUUGCCUAGUGCUCCUGUAUGAUCAAGCAAUAUGAUCGGAGACUGACUGAUUCUGCAUCUCACAUUUGUAGUAUUUGGGCAUUGUCAAUAUUUAUGAAAUGACAAACAUACUCAUCAUUCUAGAAUAUAUAUCAAAAUUGAGUUUGCUAUCGCACCAUACACUUCCUUUUUCUCAGUUUUCAGUUUCGUUUUUCUUUUUCCACUACAACGAUUUGUUUCCAGCACACGGUUUAUGUUAUUUACAGGGUACGUUAUUAAUUCCAGCAAUUGGAACUAACUUUCUUUAAGCACCUACGGAUGUACUCAAAAGAUAGUUGACAUGAACCAAAAGUUAUCACAUUUGUGAGUGGCAGGCAGCAUGUUUUAAAAUCUCUAAUUGGAUGAUGGUUUCACUCAAGGGUCCAAUUAAUAGUCUGCAAUUUGAGAGAAUGUUUUACUGAAAUUCCACAGUACUUUGGUGGAAAAAGAAAACACACAGAUGUACUUUGAAACUAUUUAGAAAUAAACCACUGACAUAGGAAACGGGAAACUGAUUAAUCAAUGAACAUCUAUAUGAGCAGUAAGAAAUAAUUUCUAAUUCAGAUCUACAAAAGAAUUUGUCCUCCCGGAAAAACUUGAAACCAAUUCUUAGUGUGUUAAAACUCACCACCCCAAUCCAACAUGCCACCUUCAUCAUCUGCAUCUUCAUCUUCAUCUUCAUCUCUUUCCUCACCUUCAAGGUUCUUUUCUUGUUCAAAGAGAUCUUGGCGAGCCCCUUCACCCUUUUUUGACUUCAAAUCAUUAAUCUCUAUGACCCCCAAGAUCUUUUCACUUAUACACGACUCAACCCUCCCUUGCUCUCCAGCCUCUGAGGGGAUCAUUCCAAGUAGUGAGGCACAGUCCCCAAUGAAAUCCUCAUCGUUGGAUGACAAUAUGAGACCUGCAAUUGCCUUUGAUAGGUCGGGCACAUAGUUUCGUAUCUGAAAUGCUCAUGACAACCAAUUCAGAGAAAUACCUAUAAUUAUGUGUGAAAUGAACCCACACAUGCACAUGCCCAUGCACAUAUGCAAGCACGCAACGGAGAACACAUGCUCAAACACACACUAGUGAAAGGCAUCGCACGCAUGUGCAGAUAGUGGAAAACUAUGUUCAAGAGAGAAUAAUAUAAAAGUAAAGACUUAAUUUGUAAUAGCAGAAAUAAUAACAGUGAAUACCAAUGGUUAAACACAAAAAUUAAACAUUAGUCUUUUUAAUGUUUUAUUUUCCCAAGAAGGUUCUAUUGUAAACAUUUUCAUCAAUUUUUGGGGUUCUUUUUCACCAACAGCUGUAGUGAGCUAUGCCGGUAAAUUAUUUUUCAGAUUUUCUUUCAGCUUAUAUCAGAGGUUUUUAAAAUGCUUUAGAGUGCAUUCCUGACUUUGCCAUGUUUGACAGUGAUUUUCAGUUAUAAAACAAAUUUCGAAGGAGUUAUCUUAAAACAUAAGUGGUUGUUUUAGGCGGGCAUAUUUGUGCUAAGUCCAUGGGGUCAUUGGUCUACCACUUCUUUGUGACUCCUUUCUUGUUGGGAAGGUCAUUCAUUAUUAUGUCCAAUAUAGGAAAUCAAAUUUAUUGUGCAUAUCUAAACAACAGUGAGACUUCUCUGGAUAUUAGGAGUUUAUGUUUAAUACAAUCAUACAACAUUAAUUAAAAUUCAUUAUAGAAUUGGCUUCUCACAAUUAAACACAAAUUUGUGGAGAAGCUUUGGAGUUUGGAGAUGUUCUUGAGCAUUACGAAUCAGCUACACAUUAAAUCUUUCACACAAUCA